GACGAACGCUGGCGGCGUGCUUAACACAUGCAAGUCGAACGGAAAGGCCCUGCUUUUGUGGGGUGCUCGAGUGGCGAACGGGUGAGUAACACGUGAGUAACCUGCCCUUGACUUUGGGAUAACUUCAGGAAACUGGGGCUAAUACCGGAUAGGAGCUCCUGCUGCAUGGUGGGGGUUGGAAAGUUUCGGCGGUUGGGGAUGGUCUCGCGGCUUAUCAGCUUGUUGGUGGGGUAGUGGCUUACCAAGGCUUUGACGGGUAGCCGGCCUGAGAGGGUGACCGGCCACAAUGGGCCUGAGAUACGGCCCAGACUCCUACGGGAGGCAGCAGUGGGGAAUAUGGCACAAUGGGCGGAAGCCUGAUGCAGCAACGCCGCGUGCGGGAUGACGGCCUUCGGGUUGUAAACCGCUUUCGCCUGUGACGAAGCGUGAGUGACGGUAAUGGGUAAAGAAGCACCGGCUAACUACGUG
rnacentral:rRNA from 1 species